rnacentral:rRNA from 1 species
UACGGAGGGUGCGAGCGUUGUCCGGAAUCACUGGGCGUAAAGGGCGCGUAGGCGGCGCGGAUAGUCGGCGGUGAAAGCCCGGAGCUCAACUCCGGGUCGGCCGUCGAUACUUCCGGGCUUGAGCACUGUAGAGGCAGAUGGAAUUCCGGGUGUAGCGGUGGAAUGCGUAGAGAUCCGGAAGAACACCGGUGGCGAAGGCGGUCUGCUGGGCAGUUGCUGACGCUGAUGCGGCGACCAGCGUGGGGAGCAAACGAGG